GAGAGUCCAUCUUCUUGGGGAAGUGCUUCUGAGAGCUGGGUUGGAGUAAAAACGGCCAUUUUGAGGAGGGUAUUUUUGAAUUGAUAAGGGACUUUAGAAUGCUCAGGAAAAAUUUCCACUGGCAAUUUUAGAAGAAAGCAUAGGUUUUAAAGGAGGGUAUCAUUCUAACUUAGAGCUGAACUACUGUGAUUUGAUAUAUAAUUUAAGAGCAAAUCGCAAUAUUUUUCUUUCUUGACAUCAACUUAAGAAUGACUAUCCAUGUAGUAGAAAGUAAGGCUUCAAAUUUACCUGUUCCCAAUAAAUCCACAAGAUCUGACAGGAACACAUAUGUUGGUCUGGGGUCAACCAGGCGGAGCACUGGAGUCCUUUUCCAGAGAAG
rnacentral:lncRNA from 1 species